ACGGAAGGCAGCAGUGGGGAAUUUUGCGCAAUGGGCGCAAGCCUGACGCAGCAACGCCGCGUGCGGGACGAAGGCCUUCGGGUCGUAAACCGCUUUCAGGGGGGAAGAUACUGACGGUACCCCCAGAAGAAGCCCCGGCUAACUACGUGCCAGCAGCCGCGGUAAUACGUAGGGGGCGAGCGUUAUCCGGAUUCAUUGGGCGUAAAGCGCGCGUAGGCGGCUCGCUAAGCGGGACCUCUAAUCUUGGGGCUCACCCCCAAGCCGGGUCCCGAACUGGCGGGCUCGAGUGCGGUAGGGGCAGGCGGAAUUCCCGGUGUAGCGGUGAAAUGCGCAGAUAUCGGGAAGAACACCGAUGGCGAAGGCAGCCUGCUGGGCCGUCACUGACGCUGAGGCGCGAAAGCUGGGGGAGCGAACAGGAUUAGAUACCCUGGUA
rnacentral:rRNA from 1 species